GACGAACGCUGGCGGCGUGCUUAACACAUGCAAGUCGAACGGAAAGGCCUGCUUUCCCUUGUGGAUUGCGGGUACUCGAGUGGCGAACGGGUGAGUAACACGUGAGUGAUCUGCCCCCAACUUGGGUAUAAGCCUGGGAAACUGGGUCUAAUUCCCGAUAGGACUGCAGGGUGGUGCCUGUGGUGGAAAACGAUUUUCUAGUGGUUGGGGAUGGGCUCGCGGCCUAUCAGCUUGUUGGUGGGGUAAUGGCCUACCAAGGCGGCGACGGGUAGCCGGCCGGAGAGGGGGGACGGCCACAUUGAGACUGGGUUCCGACCCAGACGCCUACGGGAGGCAGCGGUGGUGAAGAAUGGACAAUGGGCGGAAGCCUGAAGCGGCGACGGCGCGUGGAAGAUGACGGCCUUCGGGUUGUAAACUCCUUUCGACCGCGAGGAAGGCACCUGGUUAGAAGGGUGGUGACGGUAGUUGUAGAAGAAGCACCGGCUAACUACGUG
rnacentral:rRNA from 1 species